UAAGAAAAUUGUAGAGCGUUAGUUUAAGAAGUUUACUUUGGAUCAAGUGAUCAAAGGGUAAAAAAGGGGGCAGGUAAGCAAUCUUUUUUUAUUUUAAAUGGCCAAUCUUUGUGAAGCUCUCUGUUGUGCUGUGCUUAAAAUCUUCAUUGCAGUAUUUGCAUCUUUGUUUUGAUGACAACGUGGAGUUUGGAUACAGGUGAACUGAGAAAAAUAUUUAAGAAAAGGCUGAGGUCAGAAGAGGAGAUAAGAGCGGCAGGGUAGACACUAGGAGGAAGCAGGAAGCCAGUGGCAAGGCUGAUGUCCCAAGAUAAAGAAAAUUCAAGAAGAAAGUAAAAAUUGUCAAGAAUCAAAAUGAGAUGGAUUUCAAAAAGGAUAUUAAUAUAAAUAGUAAUAAAAAAAUGUAACAGCAAAAACAAUAUUAAAAACCGUCAGCCAUCAGGAAAAUGAGCAGUGGGGCUGUCAUGUGGUGAGGAUAGGGUGGAAAUAAAUAGAGUCAGUUUGUCACCAAAAUGAAAUGAAUGUUUUAGUUUUGUUCUCAGCAGAAACAUGGUGAGGAAUACAAAAAGGGAAAAAGCAGAGUGGGAACGAGAGCUGAAAACUAUUGUUUCUCAGAUGAAAGCAAAUUAGAAGUUGCUCAGCAUGGUUCAGGGUGUGCUGGCAACGCACCAGGUGGAAAACUGUGACCUUGGAGCUGCAUGGGAACUGCCAGGGCUGUUCUCUAGCUGGGAGGAGGAAGUGGAUCGAGCUGAGAGGGAACUGGGACAUUUUCCUGAUUCCUAGAGGUCCACCCUAAGAAACCUACAGGUCAGCCCCAGACAAAUCUUGGCUAUUCUCACUGUGAUGCUGGUGCAUACUCAAGAAGGAGAGAGGAGCUGUAUUCUACAGCUGGCAAGCAACAAGAAAGAAGUGAUGGAGUCAUUAGUUUCACUCAUCUGGCUAAUAGGGCAGCAGAACAGCUGAUCCUCCUGGGUCUGGAGAUUCCUUCCUGAUGUCUCUCCUGCUCAGUGUUACACAACUCAGCAGAAUAUUGAGUUCUGGGUUGACCAUGAGCUCCUGGUCUGAUUGUCUCCUUCCAGCUUGGGAAGACCUGAAAAAAGGCAACUUCUCAUGGCAGUUAAGUCUUUACUCUGUCAAACUCCCAUGUCUUUGUUGAGUGAGGGUCAGACUGUAUGAGAGGAUUGCAAACAGAGUGGGGGGGGGGGAGCAAGCAAUACAGUAAUUGGAAGUAGAGAAAAAUGAUUUGUGUACCCCUGGUGUUUAUGUGCAAGCACACAUACAUGAGUCAGACCAAAGCUUGUCUAGAUUAUUAUCCUGCCCCCAGCUUUGGGCAAUAGGAGAUGC
rnacentral:lncRNA from 1 species